rnacentral:rRNA from 1 species
CCUACGUGAGGCAGCAGUGAGGAAUAUUGGUCAAUGGGCGCGAGCCUGAACCAGCCAAGUCGCGUGAGGGAUGACGGUCCUACGGAUUGUAAACCUCUUUUGCCGGGGAGCAAGCGUGCGUUCGUGAACGCGCGUCGAGAGUACCCGGAGAAAAAGCAUCGGCUAACUCCGUGCCAGCAGCCGCGGUAAUACGGAGGAUGCGAGCGUUAUCCGGAUUUAUUGGGUUUAAAGGGUGCGCAGGCGGGAGAUCAAGUCAGCGGUAAAAUGUCGGGGCUCAACCCCGGCCGGCCGUUGAAACUGGUUUUCUAGAGUUGGAGAGAAGUAUGCGGAAUUCGUGGUGUAGCGGUGAAAUGCAUAGAUAUCACGAAGAACUCCGAUUGCGAAGGCAGCAUACCGGCUCCAUACUGACGCUGAGGCACGAAAGCGUGGGGAUCGAACAGGAUUAGAUACCCCGGUAGUC